GCCGCGAUAGCUCAGCCUGGGAGAGCGCCCGGCUGAAGACCGGGGUGUCGAGUGUUCAAAUCACUCUCGCGGCACCA
rnacentral:tRNA from 1 species